CAAUAUUGAUGUUGAUACUUUGGCAAAACUGUUGGCAGUAUGUAGUUCUAUUUUUUGUAUUUUGUUUUGGGAAAACUAUUUAUCGGAUCAGGGGAACAGGAGAUGGACCUUUGUGUGAUACAGGAAGGUAGCAAUGUUAAUAAUGGGCCCUUUUCUUUGACAGGAGAGGAGACACCAAAAGAUGUGAGAACUUCAACAGUGGUUUACGGAACACAUAGAGAGAGAGAGAGAGGGAGGGUUAAUGGAGUGGGAGGAAGACUCUGAUUCUUAGCUUAGGUGGUGUAUGUGGUCCCGAAUUGGAGCAGCGUCCAAGGAUGAUGGAUACAUGAUUUCCAAUUAGCUUCUUAGAGCAACCACAUCAGCUCGUUUAAAUUUUCUGUCUAUUUUACAUGAAAAAACUUAUUAUUUUUAUUUUACACAUCCACUUUUACAAAACAUCCAUAUCAGUUCAUCUAUUCUACAAGAUAUUUUAAUAAAAUAUUCAUUUUUCUCAAUUUUUUGAUUA